GUUUAUUCUUAAAAACGCACAUUUACUUCCUGUUCAGUGUUUGCUAGUGGUUGAUUGUGGUUUUGUUAUUCGUCUUGUAAUUACUGAGUCUUAUUAGCUCAAGGUGGGUAGCUUUUGUUGAAUUGAGAGUUCAAUGUUACUACAUUAUCUAAUUAUCUUUUAGAAAAAAAUCAAAAGCUUUUGCAUAUUGUAUGCAAUGGUAUUUAACAUGAUAUAUUGAUAAUUUUAGACUAGUUUCUGUUAAUACUAAAUUCAUUUGUUAACUACAGGCUGAAAGUUUGGAUGCAAUUGU
rnacentral:misc_RNA from 1 species